UACGGAGGAUCCAAGCGUUAUCCGGAUUUAUUGGGUUUAAAGGGUGCGUAGGCGGAUUGAUAAGUUAGAGGUGAAAUGACCGAGCUCAACUCGGGAACUGCCUCUAAUACUGUUGAUCUAGAGAGUAGAUGCGGUAGGCGGAAUGUAUGGUGUAGCGGUGGAAUGCGUAGAUAUAUGGAAGAACACCAGUGGCGAAGGCGGCUCUCUGGUCUGUAACUGACGCUGAGGCUCGAAAGCAUGGGUAGCGAACAGG
rnacentral:rRNA from 1 species